rnacentral:rRNA from 1 species
GACAGAGGGUGCAACCGUUGUUCGGAAUGAUUGGGCGUAAAGCGUCCGCAGGUGGCAGUUCAAGUCUGCUGUCAAAGACCGGGGCUUAACUUCGGAAAGGCAGUGGAAACUGAACAGCUAGAGUAUGGUAGGGGCAGAGGGAAUUCCUGGUGUAGCGGUGAAAUGCGUAGAGAUCAGGAAGAACAUCGGUGGCGAAGGCGCUCUGCUGGACCAUAACUGACACUCAGGGACGAAAGCUAGGGGAGCGAAUGGG